rnacentral:snRNA from 1 species
AAUUGAGAGCAAGCUAGCUAUGACAUCUGUCAACCCCACUGAUUGCCAGAAUCGAUUUGGUCGAUCUAUCCUGCUAGAACAGUGUACCAUUUCUUCCUGGCUCUGCCAUAUGUGUUUUUCCCAAAGCUGCAUGCUUCACUGGAAAGGAUGAUUUUUCUAGAUAGAUAGGAUCUACAAGAGAUCAAGUUCUCCUGCUGCAAUAGCCAAGUCUUGCUGAGUAGAUUGGCUGUGUCUCCCCCACUAGGUAAAGAGCCACUUGAAGGUGAAGAUUUCAUCUUUAUGU